rnacentral:rRNA from 1 species
GAGGUCAAGACCUCGACCUAUUAGUAUUGCUCAGCUGAAUGCAUUACUGCACUUACACAUGCAACCUAUCAACCCGUUAACGUAUCGGGGGUCUUACUCACUUGCGUGAUGGGAAAUCUUAUCUUAAGGUCAGUUUCGCGCUUAGAUGCUUUCAGCGCUUAUCUGCUCCAGACUCAGCUACUCAGCUAUGCCACUGGCGUGACAACUGAUGCACCGGCGGUCUGUUCAUUCCGGUCCUCUCGUACUAGGAACAACUCCCUUCAAAUUUCCUGCGCCCACGGCGGAUAGGGACCGAACUGUCUCACGACGUUCUGAACCCAGCUCGCGUGCCUCUUUAAUGGGCGAACAGCCCAACCCUUGGGACCUGCUUCAGCCCCAGGAUGAGACGAGCCGACAUCGAGGUGCCAAACCUCCCCGUCGAUGUGGACUCUUGGGGGAGAUAAGCCUGUUAUCCCCAGGGUAGCUUUUAUCCGUUAAGCGAUGGCCUUUCCACUCGGUGCCACCGGAUCACUAAGUCCAACUUUCGUUCCUGCUCGAGAUGUCUCUCUCGCAGUCAAGCUCUCUUCUGCCUUUACACUCUUCGCACGAUUUCCGACCGUGCUGAGGGAACCUUUGAGCGCCUCCGUUACUCUUUCGGAGGCGACCGCCCCAGUCAAACUGCCCAACUGACAGUGUCCAUACACCGGAUCACGGUGCCAUGUUAGAAAUUCAGUAACAAUAGAGUGGUAUCCCAACGUCGACUCCACACAUACUGGCGUACAUGCUUCUCAGUCUCCCACCUAUACUGUACAAUUGCUACCGAAUUCCAAUGUCAGCCUGCAGUAAAGCUCCAUGGGGUCUUUCCGUCCUGCCGCGGGUAACUCGCAUCUUCACGAGUACUACAAUUUCACCGGAUCUAUUGUUGAGACAGUGCCCAAAUCGUUACACCUUUCGUGCGGGUCGGAACUUACCCGACAAGGAAUUUCGCUACCUUAGGACCGUUAUAGUUACGGCCGCCGUUUACUGGGGCUUAAGUUCAAAGCUUCUCUUUCGAUGACUUCUCCCCUUAACCUUCCAGCACCGGGCAGGUGUCAGCCCCUAUACUUCAUCUUUCGAUUUAGCAGAGACCUGUGUUUUUGGUAAACAGUCGCUUGGGCCUGUUUUCUGUGGCCCUUCGAAGCUCCAUCUGUUCAGACUUCACUCUAAAGGGCUCCCCUUCUCCCGAAGUUACGGGGACAUUUUGCCUAGUUCCUUAACAAUAGUUCUUCCGCUCAUCUUUGGAUUCUCUCCUUGCCUACCUGUGUCGGUUUGCGGUACGGGCACCAAUUUGCUCGAUAGAGGCUUUUCUUGACAGCGUGGGCUCAACUACUUCACUACUUAUUUUCGCUCCCAUUCGUAUCUCAGGAUUGAUGAAACGGAUUUGCCUAUCUCAUCUCCCUACUUACUUAGACACACUAUUCCAUCAGUGUGCUAGCUUACCCUUCUGUGUUACCCCAUUUCUCAAACGCAUUUUGGUGGUACUGGAAUUUCAACCAGUUGUCCAUCGCCUACGCCAUUAGGCCUCGGCUUAGGUCCCGACUUACCCUGAGUGGACGAGCCUUCCUCAGGAAUCCUUAGGCUUUCGAUGGGUGAGAUUCUCACUCACCUUUCGCUACUCAUGCCAACAUUCUCUCUUCUGUACAGUCCACAGCUCCUUUCGGUAGCGCUUCAACCCGUACACAAUGCUCCUCUACCGAUGUACUUACGUACAUCCCACAACUUCGGUAAUAGAUUUUAGCCCCGGACAUCUUCGGCGCAAAACCACUCGACCAGUGAGCUAUUACGCACUCUUUUAAUGAGUGGCUGCUUCUAAGCCAACAUCCUGGUUGUCUGUGUAGUUUUACAUCCUUUUCCACUUAAUCUAUAUUUUGGGACCUUAGUUGGUGAUCUGGGCUGUUUCCCUUUCGACUACGAAACUUAUCUCACGUAGUCUGACUCCCAAGCUUGUAUAUAUGGUAUUCGGAGUUUGAUAGGUUUUGGUAACGUAUAACGCCCCUAGACCAUUCAGUGCUCUACCCCCACUAUACUUUCUCUUGAGGCUAGCCCUAAAGCUAUUUCGAGGAGAACCAGCUAUCUCCGAGUUCGAUUGGAAUUUCACCGCUAUCCACACGUCAUCCCGUAGCUUUUAAACGCUAAUGGGUUCGGUCCUCCACCAGAUUUUACUCUAGCUUCAACCUGCACAUGGAUAGGUCACCCGGUUUCGGGUCUACGACAUGCAACUUUCGCCCUAUUGAGACUCGGUUUCCCUUCGGCUCCUGACCUCUUAGUCAUUAACCUUGCAACAUAUCGUAACUCGUUGGCCCGUUCUACAAAAAGUACGCGGUUACACUUUCGUGCUUCCACUGUUUAUAGGCAUGGGGUUUCAGGUUCUUUUUCACUCCCCUCCCGGGGUUCUUUUCACCUUUCCCUCACGGUACUCUUCACUAUCGGUCACUAGGUAGUAUUUAGCCUUGGGAGGUGGUCCUCCCUGCUUCCCACAAGAUUUCUCGUGUCUCGUGGUACUCUGGAUCAUAUCCUUGCUUCAAACCAUUUCGCUUACAUGUCUAUCACACUCUUUGGAGGAACUUUCCAGUUCUCUUCAGCUACGGUUAUCCAUCUCUUUGAUAUGUCCUCAACCCCAGACAUUACUGCCUGGUUUGGGCUCUUCCGGUUUCGCUCGCCGCUACUCUCGGAAUCAUUAUUUAUUUUCUCUUCCUAAGGGUACUUAGAUGUUUCAGUUCCCCUCGUUCCCCUCAUACAGCUAUGUAUUUACUGUAUGAUACAUAAGGUUUACCUUAUGUGAGUUUCCUCAUUCGGAUAUCUGGGUAUCGUAGACUGCUUACGUCUCCUCCCAGCAUUUCGUAGUUUGCCACGUCCUUCAUCGGCUCCUAGUGCCAAGGCAUUCGCCCCACGCCCUUUAUAUCUUGA